GAAACUGAGAACAGGGUACUGCAGUGUGGAAACCUGUAAUUGUUUGUAAGCCUUAGAGAAAGAAUGGAGGAAACUAGGGGGAAAUGAGAAGCCCUGGGGUCCUGUCCCUGAGGGAAGUGUUGAAAGAGCCUGAUAGAGCUGAAGUAGGAAGUGGUCCAGGGAAACAGUAGCAAGCUUUAGGACAGUGCAGACUGUAGCUGCUGGUUGUAGGGUCCCUGCGCUGGAACCUGGAGUUGGGAGCAGGCCUGGGUUCCCCUACCAGCCACUGGGGAAGUGGCACAUACCAGGCAGCAGCACAGAAGACUGCCUAGGACAGUUGUCCAGUGGGACUUUGGUACCCCAGAAGAGGAGGACUAUAGUGAUCUGGCUGGAAGACCAAGCUAUGGAGAGAGAGAGAGACAGUGGGUAUGCGAAUGAGUGGCAGAAGGGGGCAUUGGACCUGGAAGGAGUUAAUUUCCAGAGCAGCCAGGAGGAGGCUCCCUAAUGGUACUGGAGGCUGUAGCAGUUGAGAAGAUAUAAAGCUGCAUGCCAUCUGUAUCCUGGUGACACUGGCAUCUCAGACCUUCUGACCAAUCUCUUAGAACAGUAUGGAAGAGGAUUUGGGAAGUAGUAGACCUGGAGUUGGCCUUAAAAGGAGAAAUGCCUGAACCAAAUCCUGAUAUCCAAACAUCCCCAUACUUGCGUGUUUGAAAACUGGGGCAAUUGGGCCCCGUUUCUCAGUAAUAUGUUCUAGUUUAUUUGAUGUUUCAUACACUUGAUGGUUGUUAUGAAAUGGCUUUAGAACACUGCAUGUGGCUGGAUGUUGGGAAUACUGUAUAGCUAUUUAUAAUGCCCAGUAAAUGCAUGCAAUUGUU